rnacentral:rRNA from 1 species
GCCUAAAGCGUCCGUAGCCGGCUCUGUUAGUUUUCGGUUAAAUCCAUAUGCUCAACAUAUGGGCCGCCGGGAAUACUACAAAGCUAGGGAGUGGGAGAGGUAGACGGUACUCCGUAGGAAGGGGUAAAAUCCUUUGAUCUAUGGAUGACCACCAGUGGCGAAGGCGGUCUACCAGAACACGUUCGACGGUGAGGGAUGAAAGCUGGGGGAGCAAACCGGAUUAGAUACCCGGGUAGUCCCAGCUGUAAACUAUGCAAACUCAGUGAUGCAUUGGCUUGUGGCCAGUGCAGUGCCGCAGGGAAGCCGUUAAGUUUGCCGCCUGGGAAGUACGUACGCAAGUAUGAAACUUAAAGGAAUUGGCGGGGGAGCACCACAAGGGGUGAAGCCUGCGGUUCAAUUGGAGUCAACGCCAGAAAUCUUACCCGAAGAGACAGCAGAAUGAAGGUCAAGCUGGAGACUUUACCAGACAAGCUGAGAAGUGGUGCAUGGCCGUCGCCAGCUCGUGCCGUGAGAUGUCCUGUUAAGUCAGGUAACGAGCGAGAUCCCUGCCUCUAGUUGCCACCAUUACUCUCAGGAGUAGUGGGGCGAAUUAGCGGGACCGCCGCAGUUAAUGCGGAGGAAGGAAGGGGCCACGGCAGGUCAGUAUGCCCCGAA